AGAGUUUGAUCAUGGCUCAGAUUGAACGCUGGCGGCAGGCCUAACACAUGCAAGUCGAGCGGUAACAGAAAGUAGCUUGCUGCUUUGCUGACGAGCGGCGGACGGGUGAGUAAUGCCUGGGAAUAUGCCUUGAUGUGGGGGAUAACCAUUGGAAACGAUGGCUAAUACCGCAUAAUGUCUUCGGACCAAAGAGGGGGACCUUCGGGCCUCUCGCGUCAAGAUUAGCCCAGGUGGGAUUAGCUAGUAGGUGAGGUAAUGGCUCACCUAGGCGACGAUCUCUAGCUGGUCUGAGAGGAUGAUCAGCCACACUGGAACUGAGACACGGUCCAGACUCCUACGGGAGGCAGCAGUGGGGAAUAUUGCACAAUGGGCGCAAGCCUGAUGCAGCCAUGCCGCGUGUGUGAAGAAGGCCUUCGGGUUGUAAAGCACUUUCAGUCGUGAGGAAGGCAGUUGCGUUAAUAGCGUAAUUGUUUGACGUUAGCGACAGAAGAAGCACCGGCUAACUCCGUGCCAGCAGCCGCGGUAAUACGGAGGGUGCGAGCGUUAAUCGGAAUUACUGGGCGUAAAGCGCAUGCAGGUGGUUAGUUAAGUCAGAUGUGAAAGCCCGGGGCUCAACCUCGGAAUUGCAUUUGAAACUGGCUAGCUAGAGUGCUGUAGAGGGGGGU
rnacentral:rRNA from 1 species